rnacentral:tRNA from 1 species
GCAGGGCGAGCCGCCGGACCGCCUCCUCCUUCACACGGAGGGCGAUCGCGUCCUUGGGAUCGUUGGUUAAGUUCUGCUCC